rnacentral:tRNA from 1 species
AAAAGAGUAGGCUAUGUUUAAGCCUUUAGACCCAUGAUCUAAUGAAGCGCUGUGAGGCGCCUCUUUUU